rnacentral:rRNA from 1 species
AUUGAACGCUGGCGGCAGGCCUAACACAUGCAAGUCGAACGGUAGCACAGGAGAGCUUGCUCUCUGGGUGACGAGUGGCGGACGGGUGAGUGAUGCAUGGGAGCUGCCCAAUCGAGGGGGAUACCAGCUGGAAACGGCUGCUAAUACCGCAUACGCCCUGAGGGGAAAAGGUGGGGACCUUCGGGCCUACCGCGAUUGGAUGCACCCAUGUGGGAUUAGCUAGUUGGUGAGGUAACGGCUCACCAAGGCGACGAUCUCUAGCUGGUCUGAGAGGAUGACCAGCCACACUGGAACGGAGACACGGUCCAGACUCCUACGGGAGGAAGCAGUGGGGAAUAUUGCACAAUGGGGGAAACCCUGAUGCAGCCAUGCCGCGUGUGUGAAGAAGGCCUUCGGGUUGUAAAGCACUUUCAGUGGGGAGGAAGGGUUGAUGUCUAAUACGCAUCAGCAUUGACGUUACCCACAGAAGAAGCACCGGCUAACUCCGUGCCAGCCGCCGCAGUAA